AAAACUACAGACAGCUUUGAAAAGGCAAUUUUUUGACCAUGGUAUCACAAGCUUCAAACUAUGUUGUGGUUAUUACAUAAGACUCUUAAAACGGAUGGUUAAUGCUACAUCUGGACAUAGGCAAUUAACCAAGAUCUCUCUUGGUGAGCUACCCUGUGUAAAAACCAACAAAGUUUUAUGCCUAUUUCUUCCCUUCUGUGGCCCUUAGAUAUCUGCUCUAUUUUUCUUUCAGAGGGCAUGUGAACUUCAAAAUUACCACUGGAAAUGGAUCCACUUGAUCUAAAUGGUUAGAGCUUCUAAUUUGAUAAAAACAAAAACAUAAUCUAUUUGAUAGUUUACUGGUUGUUAAGUACUUUUUUUUUCUUUUUAAGAAACUGAUAUUUAGAACAGAUUUUGUCUUUUAGGCCCCAUGUAUCAUUUUCAUUUAAAAGGAAAACAGUGUGUAUCCUAAACCAAAGUCAGUUAAUCUCUACAAUCUUUCUUCUUCCCAAUUACUAUGAAUGAGCAUCCUCUCAGGACGCAAGUGAUGGUGACUCUUAUUUCUGCCUCCUAAAGACAUGUCUCAGCUUCGCAGAGUUUUUUGGUUUUUUGUUUUUUUUUUCUUUUCUUUUUUGGCUGUACAAUGGAACUUGGAUGCAUUUUAAAUUAACUUUCUCUAGGAAUCAAAGGUAAUCAUUAUUUCUCUUUAUGAUCCACAUGAAUAUUCUCAUUAUUUUUUUCUUUUCAAGUUUAAGAUUAGUUUUGAAUUCCCUUUAUAUCUCUGCCUUCUUUCAGAAUAACCUCCAAGGACGUGAGCUCGCACUUAGAGGAUUGAGGAAAUGUGUCCACAGCCUGUUCUUGCUGAGCUGACCCAAACACUUAGAAGAACACGAUAUGAAUCAGCAGCCUCGCUUUCCGAAAGAAUUUGGAGAUUCCAAUCUGAUCCUUUUCCAUGUGAUCUUUUGUACCCAUUCUAUUUCUGUACCACACAUAAUAAAGUUUGAGUGUCAAGUAAUCCAUCUGUAUCUGAUUUUUGUCUGGAAAGGCUUGAAGGAUUUUCAGAUUGAAA
rnacentral:lncRNA from 1 species